rnacentral:piRNA from 1 species
UCCUUUCCCACUGGGUACAGAGCUUGUGCCU